rnacentral:lncRNA from 1 species
AUGAGUCAAUGGGCUAAAUUUAGGACCAUGAGAAUCCUGCUGCAGGACUGGCUGCCAUGCAUCUUCUGUGGGCCUUCAUCUGUCGAUGGAGGAGAAAAUGGAUAAUGAUGAAGCCCACAGAUUUCAUUCCAGAAGUGACUUUGCUGCAGAGGAGCGAGGAGAGCUGCCUGGCAACACAACGCAUCGCUGUGCAUAAACUUUGUUUACAGCCAAGGCUGGAGUAAAGGAACAGAUGGCAAGAAAAUCGGAUUUAAAGAAAGGAAGGAUGUGCCUGCAUCUGGGAGCUCGGUAAAUCUCUUGGCUUCUGGUGUGCAUACAAGGGUGACGUCUAGCUACCCAAGCAGUCGCGUCCCAGUUUGCUGUUGAUUUUUGCCUGUUUGGAUCUGUCUCUGAGGAUGGUUAAUACAUCUUAUUACAAGCAUUUAUCUCAUCCCUCCCACAGGAAAUGUGUUUUCCCAGAGAUUUGUAUGUUCCCUAACCUUUUAUGGAAAGCAGUUUCUUGAUCAUCCAUGUGAUUGUGUAUCUAAAAUUUCAAGAAUAUUUAAGCUGUUAAUCCUGCUUGUCUGUAGAAGAUGGGUUUAUAUUUCUAUGAUCUUGGAAAUAUUUACAAUGAGUGU